rnacentral:lncRNA from 1 species
UGCAGGCCGGGCCUGGCUUACCUUUCCAGCUGCUUUUUUUUUCUCCUCUCUCUGCUCUCCCCCCUUUCCCUCUGUUGGGCUGACAGAUCGGAGUUUCCUCCCCAGCAGAGGGACUGGGAAUGGGCUCGGGCGCUGUGCUGAGGAGCUGCUGCCCCCCUGGCUCUGAGGAGAUCCUGCUUUUCGUGGGGAGGAAGCUUUUGGGGGGCUCUUUAUUAUUUUAAAACUACAAAGUGCUCAGAGGGUAGGUGAUUAUUAAGGGGAAUCCCUGAAUAUAUUCUCCAGCAAAGAAGGCAGGGCUGCUGGGGCUGCUCGAGAAGAGAGCCAGCAGCCUCCUACAGCACCACUACAGGCACUGCGAGGACAUAACAUCAGAGAGCGGCUCCUCUGCCCUCCAAAACAACAACUUUCCUACCAUCUUGGAGGUAGUAGAGAGGGAGAGAGAGAGGGAGGGAGGGGGGAAAAAAAGUACAGAAGGUUUUUAUAAAGUGUCAGUUCGGGGGAGGGAGCCAAGCGGCCAAAACUAGGAUUUUUUUUAGCGUUUAUGUAACUUCUUACUUUAAAUAAAAAUAAAGCGCAGAGGUAUGUGGCUGAAGAAAUAAUUUUCUUUAUAACCAGUUAAGAUCAUCUUUCUGGAAAAAAAAUAUAAAGGAGUGUAGGGAGGCCGUGUAGAGAAGCCAUGGGGGAUUUAAUGCAAGCAUAUGCUUAUUCGUUCUCAUGCUGCCUGUGCAGGCAGGAGCGUAAAGGAGAAAACAAGACUAAGGUUUCUGCACUACAGCCGGCCAUGCAACCAGUGAGGAAUUCUGCCAGCUGGCCACCAGGUGGUACCAGGGCUGCAUUUGGUGAAUUCAGUUCUGCUUUUAGUGCUGCAAUAAAGUACUGCAGUCCCUCGUGCAAUCCCUGA